GGGCCCAUAGCUCAGCUGGUUAGAGCACCUGACUCAUAAUCAGGGGGUCCUAGGUUCGAGCCCUAGUGGGCCCA
rnacentral:tRNA from 1 species